rnacentral:lncRNA from 1 species
AUGCAUCCCUCCUCUUUACGGUGUGUUUUCAAGUACGUACGUAAUCAGAGACAAUUUCAACAUGAUCUGAUCGGUAGAUGCCAGACAUGGACAGCAAAUCCCAGCAGCAGUUCCCCUCUGUUAAGCCAUGGGCCAGGGUCCCAGGCCGCAACACUGCUCUUAGGUAAUUCCAGUUGUCCAUCUGGACAGACCGAACAAAGGUUUGGGAGGGAUUCCACGGUCCGACAUCUCCUUCCCCCCUCCCACCCUAUUGCUCCCCAUCACAUCCCCCUUUUCCUUGAAACAUUUUUGUCAUCCAUCAGCAUGCUGUCACUGACCGUUGCUCCUGUGUUUCCUGAAGCAGGGUUGGUUCUGACACACUGUGUUCUUACUGCAGUCUGGCCUGUCAGAGAGACUCACACUGCUGGCCUUGCAGGAACACUAUCAAAAUACACAUUACACGCCACAGCAGAAUCUUAGGCGACUGGGGAGCUAAUAACUCCUCUGAUAAUAAAUGUUUGGAGCCCGGAGGUGGCACAAUGUGUGUAUCUGAAGUACGCGGGAUAUGUCUUAUCGCUGCUGUUCAUCACUUCUCAUUCCCAACACGGGGGCAAAUAUAUCUGUCUGUCCACUGUUCUGAGGAGAAACCGUAUUAGAACAGUUGGGACAAGACGUAUGGCUCUUGUUAAGAAGGGAAGACAAACCGAUACAGAGUUGGAGAUGGAGCACACGGUCUAUUGGGUGGUUGAAUUAUUUCAGGCGUUCUUAUGUAAGCGAUGUAUCAAUCUGAAGAGCACUCCCACUGGGCACAUACUGGUUGAAUCAACAUUGUUUCCACGUCAUUUCAAUAAAAUUCCUUCAAUUCCUUCUGACUAGUACUGACAUCUUAAUGCCUUACUCUUCCUCCUUAGAACUCUGUGGAGAGAGAGAGAGAGAGAGAGAGAGAGAGAGAGAGAGAGAGAGAGAGAGAGAGAGAGAGAGAGAGACAGAGAUAGAGACAGAGUGAGAGAGAGAGAGAGAGAGAGACCGAGAUAGAGACAGAGUGAGAGAGAGAGAGACAGAGAUAGACAGAGAGAGACCGAGAUAGAGACAGAGAGAGAGAGAGAGACCGAGCUAGAGACAGAGAGAGAGAGACCGAGAUAGAGACAGAGAGAGAGAGAGACAGAGAGAAAGAAAGAGAGUUCUCCAUCUGUUGACUUCAUCCUGGAAAAGCGAUGGAUCUGUUGGAGAGGAGAGGGGAAAACAGCAGAGGACAGGAAACAAUAUCAUACUUGUAACAUCCCCAGAGUAUGUACUGCUGUCAGAGCAACAUUUUUCUGGGUGCUUCAUUGUGGAUUUGGAUGAGGUGCAGAUGUUUCUCUUGGAUGUAGGUCUGAAUGUGUCUUUGUUCAUGUCUUUAGGUAUAUACUGUUGUGAGGGGAAUGAAAACCCUAUAAUGUUUUAUGUGCACAGACUUCAUAGACAUUAAAUCACAACGUCAUGGUUUACAACCCACCAAAGAGGUUCUGGAACGCAGCACCCAGCACAGCAGAUUCUAUCCUCCUCAGCAAGCUAAUGAAUACGGAAUUCAUGUUUUCUCUGUUAUGGUUGCCAUCCUCUAUAUCAACGAUGGUUGCUAUGAGCACAAAUCAAGUAUUUCUCUCUCUCUAGAUUGAAUCUACAGCCCUGCACCUAUGCUACCCACUACCAGGAGCCUUCUAUACCCUGACUAUUUUAUAGCACUGAUUAUAGGGUAGAAAAUAAGAGAUUUAUUGUGGUCGUGGGGAGAUUCCAUAUGCAUUAACUACGGUAGAUACUUAUUUGCAGUAGAUACCACUGACUCCACAAUUACUAUUUUAUAGAUCUAACAUUUACCCUCCUAACUAACUUGCAAGGAGGGGAAAAGCAAAAAUUCUGACUAAAUCAGAGGAAGCAGGAGCUGUGUCCCAGGCCAGGUUCUGCUGGAGUCAGAGGAAGGAGGAGCUGUGUCCCAGGCCAGGUUCUGCUGGAGUCAGAGGAAGGAAGAGCUGUGUCCCAGGCCAGGUUCUGCUGGAGUCAGAGGAAGGAGGAGCUGUGUCCCAGGCCAGGUUCUGCUAGAGUCAGAGGAAGGAGGAGCUGUGUCCCAGGCCAGGUUCUGCUGGAGUCAGAGGAAGGAGGAGCUGUGUCCCAGGCCAGGUUCUGCUGGAGUCAGAGGAAUGAGGAGCUGUGUCCCAGGCCAGGUUCUGCUGGAGUCAGAGGGGUAAACUGAGCUCCACGUCAGGGUGGGCUCCAUCCCCUCUGGGAAGCUCUUUGAGCCAGGGUCCAAGUAUUCCCUCCUCUGGAAAAGAACGAGGGAGAAAGGAAAGAAAAGACAGAGAGAGGGAGAGCAGGAAAGCGUCUUUCAUGUGUGUGGCAGCCGGUCUCAGUAGCCAGGCUUUUCAAAGACCUACAUGUGAAGCCUCACCAAAGUCCAAUUGCACAUCCAUCCUUUUUGAAAUAACACUUCCGAAACAGUUCUGUGCCCUGUCCAAGUCAAACAGGUCCACAACGAUAUACUUCCCUAAAACCUGAGACAGAGACGUCGUCCAGAUACUCUUCAGAUCUGCUGAUUUUCACUGCAGAGAGAUGUUUGAUGAAAUAACGGAGGGAACAGAUACUUUGUGACUUGUAUUGUAUCAGGUCAUUUUACACAAUGGGUCAUGUUUGAGUCAUUGGGGACUUUUGACAGGUCUUGAAAGUUACACAAAGGGAAUUCCAUUGUAAAGUUCAGUUUGAAACGAUCCUUGUUUUCCUGAAUAUUCCAAGGUUCCAUUAGGAUCUGUAUCCAGCCCCUGUGGUUAAAAAAAAUAAAGAAAUAUAAACUCAACUCAAACGAAACAGUGACAGGGCAUAGAUACCGUAGCCAGGACACAUAAGAAUAGGUUAGUUUCACAUGCUAGGCUGUCAUCUUGAAGUCUGAAUGACAUUGGAGCACUGUGCAGACAAACUGUCACACUGAACACGUCUGUCAUACGUGCUCCAACAGGCCCAAAGUACGACAUUGGCGAACAGCAGUAAUUACUGAGAGCGUUUGGUUUUGGUUUCUGGUUACAUUUUAAAACAAAAGACAAUAUAUACCUGUCACAACGAAGGGUUCAUUGAUUAACAUGACAGACUUUAAAGUGAACGCCAUAAUUAUCCAGGAUAUGCUUUUAUAGGAGGAGCAAAUGGAAAGGGCUCUACCAGCCUGUUAACUAUGUUAGGACAGUGUUAGUUACACAAGCGAGCCUUAUACCAGGAAAGCGCCUACAGAAUUUAACCUCUGCUACUUCUAGCUGAUUGCACUUCCUGCUUGGAAGUGCAACACAUAGGUUGUGCCCUGCUGAUCUGGGGUGUCAGCUGAUUAAUGGGUCAGCUCCGUGGACAGUGACAUCAUCCAUUCAACCAUGGUUGUCCAUUCUUGCAGUGUGGCCUGAUAUACUCACCCCCUCCUCUGUGAAGUGAUCAUAAUGUUGUAAAGUACUUAAGUAAAAACACUUUGAAGUACUACUUAUUAAGUCGUUUUUGGGGGUAUCUGUACUUUACUAUAUAUAGUUUGGACAACUUUUACUUUUACUUCAUUACAUUCCUAAAGAAAAUAAUGUACUUUUUACUCCAUACAUUUUCCCUGACACCCAAAAGUACUCGUUACAUUUUGAAUGCUUAGCAGGACAGUAAAAUUACACUUCUCAAGAGAACAUCCUUGGUCAUCCCUACUGCCACUGAUCUGGCGGACUUACCAAACACAAAUGCUGAGUUUGUAAAUUAUGUCUGAGUGUGCCCCUGGCUAUCCGUACAUUUAAAAAAUGAUAUAUAGUUUUACUUUGAUACUAAAUAAGUAUAUUUUUGCAAUUCCAUUUACUUUUGAUAUUUAAGUAUGUUUACAACCAAAUACUUUAAGACUUUUACUCAAUUAGUAUUUUACUGGGUGACUUUCACUUUUAUUUAAGUCAUUUUCUAUUAAGGUAUCUUUACUUUAACUUAGUAUGACAAUUGUGUACUUUUUCCACCAGUGCAUAAUGCAACACAGCUGGGACGGUUGUUUUCAACAGGUGAGCUGCCAACGAACUGAGAAUAGUCAAUGUCUCUGGAGGAUUGGAGAAGAGGAACACAGUAAAAGAGGACUUUUAAACACAGAGUAGAGGAGAGAGAAGAUUAAAAACAGAACCAGGGUUUGUUGUCGCACAGCAACAUUUAAUUAUCUAAUACUUUGAUCUCCUGAAAGC